rnacentral:rRNA from 1 species
GUGGGGAAUCUUGCGCAAUGGGCGAAAGCCUGACGCAGCCAUGCCGCGUGAAUGAUGAAGGUCUUAGGAUUGUAAAAUUCUUUCACCGGGGACGAUAAUGACGGUACCCGGAGAAGAAGCCCCGGCUAACUUCGUGCCAGCAGCCGCGGUAAUACGAAGGGGGCUAGCGUUGCUCGGAAUUACUGGGCGUAAAGGGCGCGUAGGCGGACAGUUUAGUCAGAGGUGAAAGCCCAGGGCUCAACCUUGGAAUUGCCUUUGAUACUUGCUGUCUUGAGUACGGGAGAGGUGAGUGGAACUCCGAGUGUAGAGGUGAAAUUCGUAGAUAUUCGGAAGAACACCAGUGGCGAAGGCGACUCACUGGCCCGUUACUGACGCUGAGGCGCGAAAGCGUGGGGAGCAAACAGGAUUAGAAACCCUAGUAGUCC